rnacentral:rRNA from 1 species
AUGCCGACGGCCCCUGAGGGCGGCCGCGCCGCCGCGCCGCGCGUGGAGCUAGAGCUCCCGCUCGGCGCGGUGCCGUUCGACUUGGAGGCGGCCAUGUGCAGCCACGGGCUGUUCAUGGGGUCUCCUGCCUUGCCAUGGGGUCACCUCGGGCUCGAUAGAGCUGCACUCUCACGGGGGAGGGGCUGGGGUGGAUUGGACAUACCAGCGCGUGAAGACGAUUUGACAGCCGACGACGAGCUUGAGAGACUCGUCAUCGUCAAACAUCCAGGCAACAUCAUAGUUGUGAGCCGCGAGCUGCUCUUCCACGCCAUCUCCCACGCAUAG